rnacentral:rRNA from 1 species
CCAGACUCCUACGGGAGGCAGCAGUGGGGAAUCUUGCGCAAUGGGGGCAACUCUGACCCAGCAAUGCCGCGUGAAUGAAGAAGGCCUUCGGGUUGUAAAGUUCUUUCGGUAGCGAGGAAGGCAUUUAAUUUAGUAAACUAGGUGAUUGACGUUAACUACACAAGAAGCACCGGCUAACUCCGUGCCCGCAGCCGCGGUAAUACGGAGGGUGCGAGCGUUAAUCGGAAUAACUGGGCGUAAAGGGCACGCAGGCGGUGACUUAAGUGAGGUGUGAAAGCCCCGGGCUUAACCUGGGAAUUGCAUUUCAUACUGGGUCGCUGAGUACUUUAGGGAGGGGUAGAAUUCCACGUGUAGCGGUGAAAUGCGUAGAGAUGUGGAGGAAUACCGAAGGCGAAGGCAGCCCCUUGGGAAUGUACUGACGCUCAUGUGCGAAAGCGUGGGGAGCAAACAGGAUUAGAUACCCUGGUAGUCCACGCUGUAAACGAUGU